rnacentral:rRNA from 1 species
AGAGUUUGAUCCUGGCUCAGGACGAACGCUGGCGGCGUGCUUAACACAUGCAAGUCGAACGGGGUUACAUUGAUUAGCUUGCUAUGACCUGUAACCUAGUGGCGAACGGGUGAGUAACGCGUGGGUAACCUACCUACAAAUCUGGGAUAACUUCCCGAAAGGGGAGCUAAUACCGGAUGAGUUUAGAGAUUCGCAUGAAUUUUUAAACAAAGGCGGCGCAAGCUGUUGUUUGUAGAUGGACCCGCGUCCCAUUAGCUAGUUGGUGAGAUAACAGCUCACCAAGGCACCGAUGGGUAGCCGGCCUGAGAGGGUGGCCGGCCACACUGGGACUGAGACACGGCCCAGACUCCUACGGGAGGCAGCAGUGGGGAAUAUUCCGCAAUGGACGCAAGUCUGACGGAGCAACGCCGCGUGAGUGAUGAAGGCCUUUGGGUCGUAAAACUCUGUCUUCAGGGAAGAACCCUUAGCAGUUGAAUAAGCUGUUAAGCUGACGGCACCUGAGGAGGAAGCCCCGGCUAACUACGUGCCAGCAGCCGCGGUAAUACGUAGGGGGCGAGCGUUGUCCGGAAUCAUUGGGCGUAAAGCGCGCGUAGGCGGUUAUUUAAGUCAGACGUGAAAAACCUGGGCUUAACCCAGGUCUUGCGUUUGAAACUGGAUAGCUUGAGGGCAGGAGAGGAUAGUGGAAUUCCUAGUGUAGCGGUGAAAUGCGUAGAUAUUAGGAGGAACACCAGUGGCGAAGGCGACUAUCUGGCCUGUACCUGACGCUGAGGUGCGAAAGCUGGGGGAGCGAACGGGAUUAGAUACCCCGGUAGUCCCAGCCGUAAACGAUGGGGCACUAGGUGUAGGAGGUAUCGACCCCUUCUGUGCCGUAGCUAACGCAAUAAGUGCCCCGCCUGGGGAGUACGGUCGCAAGACUGAAACUCAAAGGAA